rnacentral:tRNA from 9 species
CGCGGGGUGGAGCAGUUCGGUAGCUCGUCGGGCUCAUAACCCGAAGGUCGCAGGUUCAAAUCCUGCCCCCGCCACCA